rnacentral:rRNA from 1 species
UACGUAGGUGGCGAGCGUUGUCCGGAUUUACUGGGCGUAAAGGGAGCGUAGGCGGAUUUUUAAGUGAGAUGUGAAAUACUCGGGCUCAACUUGAGUGCUGCAUUUCAAACUGGAAGUCUAGAGUUCAGGAGAGGAGAAUGGAAUUCCUAGUGUAGCGGUGAAAUGCGUAGAGAUUAGGAAGAACACCAGUGGCGAAGGCGAUUCUCUGGACUGUAACUGACGCUGAGGCUCGAAAGCGUGGGGAGCAAACAGG